rnacentral:rRNA from 1 species
UGCUUGUCUCAAAGAUUAAGCCAUGCAUGUCUAAGCAUAGCUGGCAACAGUGAAGCCGCGAAUAGCUCAUUACAACAGCCGUUGUUUCUCGGAUCUACUCUCUACUUGGAUAACUGUGGUAAUUCUAGAGCUAAUACAUGCAUCAAGACCUGACGCAAGGACGGUCGCAUUUAUUACAACAAAACCAUCCGGUCCUCGGACCGUUCCUUGGUGACUCUGAAUAACUGAGCAAAUCGCACGGUCUCGCACCGGCGAUGUAUCUUUCAAGUGUCUGCCUUAUCAACUUUCGAUGGUAGUUUAUGUGCCUACCAUGGUUGUAACGGGUAACGGAGAAUCAGGGUUUGACUCCGGAGAGGGAGCCUGAGAAACGGCUACCACUUCCRAGGAAGGCAGCAGGCA